ACCAUCGAAGCACAUCGACCGUGUCAUUUCUGGUCAUCUACGAUCAGGGGUGUCAAAAAGGUGGUAUCAGAGCAUGGUUAUACGAUGCUUGAAUGGGACUUGUUUCAAAUAUUUUUUAAGUCAAAAUGAGUCGCAAGGAUAAAUAGGAUAUGCUGGCUGGUUCCUUCAUUUUAGGAUAGAUAGUCGUGGGUAGUUACCUAAAAGUGAUUUUUCAUAGCAGAAGCACCGAGAGAAGCUUGAACGGGUGGACCGUACUUACCGAUGUCACUAUCAUCAGGCUCCAGUUUGCUACCCUCAUGGUGGGGUUCACUGCCGUCUUGUUAGGAAUCAGUAACCUCAUGCCUUCCUGCCGUUCUUUUGAGUUCUAGUGGGGGGUGCCAAUUCUUUAGAGAGAUAUAUGGGAUAAAGUUGAUACAUCGAAUACAUCUCCGGACUCGUGUGUUAUCGAUGUCAAGGUGCGUGUUGUUUGUGAUCCGGUUCAGAGCGAUUUGACUACACUUGAUCACAUAGAUGCACUUAUUAUUCCGGUUUCUCAAGUCUAACCAGCUCAUGCUAAGAUGUAUAAGCACCAGAGCCAUACAAGCAUGAUUUCUUCAGAAUUUGUUUCAAGCUUAGCGUUAGAGGAAGAGAUGGUUUGAUUGUAUUACAAGAUAAUGGAAGCACCAGAAGCAUUCUGUUUGUAACGAAAUAUCAUGAAGCUUACGAUGCAUAACCUUUAAGGUUUUUGAAUCUCAAAUCAAAUCCCCUUGAUCAAAGAUCAAAGUUUCUCUAAAUCUCCUAAAACCCUAAUUUUGAAAAUUGGUUUUAAUUUUGAUUUGAAACUUGAAUAUUUGAUUGAUCGCCUAGAGCUAUGAUUAGGAUUGUUUUAAAAGUUGAAUCUGAAUCUUGUUUAAACUAAAACCCUAAUCUCGAAAUAUAAAAUUCCUAAGAGCAUCUUUAUUGCAGUUUCUUAUGAGGGGUUUUAAACUAAAUCACUGAUUUAUUUAAAUCAAAAGUAAAUAAUACAUCUGUAACCGAUCCUUAAUUGAGCAGUUUGGACACCGAUCAUUAGAAGAGUUCUAAACACACGUGUCUAACACACAAUGAAACAUAAAUUUAUUUUUUAUUUAUUUUUUCUCUUUAUUUUGGUUUCUUUCUCUUUCUUCCUCUUUUCUCAGUUUCUCAGAAAGAGGAACGAUGUGUUCUCCAUGAAUCCGACGAAGGCGGAUCUUUUCUUUCUGUUUCUGUUGAUAAAAAUUCAUUUGGUUUCCCUCUGAUGAAGAUCAGAGUCAUCCACUUUUCUCCGCUGUUUCUCGCAAACUUACCACUUGUUUCUCGUCGUGGAGGACUCAAUGGUCUUUGCUCAGCCGUGGAAGAACUGUUCCCUUGAGAAAAAGAUUCUUCUUGUUGCCUCCAAAAGCCACCACAGAGCUAUCAGGUUAAGUGGGAGGAGAAGAUGUGGAUAGAAACAUCAUGCUGUAUUGCAACAUCAACAAGGCUGAGAAGAGUUGAUGUGGGAAGGAAUCAGUGUUGUCAUUGAAACAGUAGGUUCUGAUGAACAUAUAUGUUGGAAGCUUCAAUGGCUUGUGUUGAAAUCCGAUCCUCAAUGAUGAAGAAUUUGAUCUGCUCAAACUCAAAGUUAAGGUUCUAUUCCACUCAAAAUACAUAUAUUCUCAUUCCUCUGAGCUUCAGUUUUUAAGGAUUUUUUCUACUUCUGUAGAUGGAUGGUAGCGAGAUUGCGAGUGAGGGUCCAAGGUGCAGUCUCGGUAGUAAGAAGGGAAGUAAUGUUGUGAUCGAGCAAAGUUGGAGAACAAAUACCCAUUACUCAAAGCAUUGAAUUCAAGGUUAAAGUCAAGAACGUUGGUGCCAGUCUUGUCAAGGUUAAUUCUAUUGUCUUGCUUUCUUGUUUAUUGCGUUCACAUGUGGAUAGUAGUUGAUAGUGAUGAAUGUUGGUUAGAGUUAGAUUGUUGUCAGUGAAUAUGGGUGUGAUUAAUGCUUGUUUUAGGACACGUUUUAGUUGAUAGUGAUGAAUGUGAUGAAUCUGAUGAAUGCUUGUGUGGUAUUUUUUUUUUUAAGAACUCUUAUGUAAGAAACCUCCAAUGGAGCACAAAAUUUAUAAGUUUCUUAACUAAAUUUCUUAACUAACUUUUAUUAUUAAACAAGUCAUUGAGAAACCCAAUUGGGGUUAUAGGGAUAAUGAUGCUCUAAAGGCCUUGAAACCUUAAAUCUCUCAUUACUUAAAACUUGAAAGAUUGAUUUAAAGUAUUAGAAAUAUUUACAUAUUGAAUGAGAGUUAGGGUGCUAGAUUAUUUAAUUCUAAAACCUAAUAGAUAUGCAACUAAGUAAUAGGAUUGAAUGCAUUUGGAUUAAUGAUCUCAUUUUGUAUAAGGCCGUGUGGCCUAAUACAUUGUUCAUACUUGCGGCCUUGUGCCCUUGCUUGAUUAAAAGCCGCGUGGCUUAGUGCACAUCUAUGUGGCCGUGUGGCCUAGCAUCCGGAUGGUAAUAUCAUGAUCCGAUCCUUAAGAUUGCUGUAUCACUAAUAUGGCCGUGUGGCCUAAAGCAUCACAUUGCAAAGCCGUGUGGCCUAAGCAUCAUAGAUAGACUUAUGAAAUCAUAUGCACUGAUUAUUUAAAAUAGUUGCAAUCUAAAUCAAGAAUUGAUUGAUAAUAUGAUUUCAGAUGCCGAGAUUUAAGCCUUUCGAUUAUGCCAUUCUAAAUCUCUCUGGAGAUAAUUAUCUAGAAUAGCCAACGAACACUUCAGUUGUCCUGAAAUCAAGAGGACUCGGAAGGAGUAUCAUUCAGGAUGAUUAUGCAACUAGAAGUGAAAAGUUAAGAGACAUUACAAUAAUGCGCCAACAUCUCACUGAGGAACUGAGAAAUCAGUAUCUAUAUAUUGAGAAUCCUCGUGACCUUUGGACAGAAUUAAAGUCCAGAUACACAAUAGUGUUAUUACCAAAGGUCAGACAUGAAUGGAUGAGUCUCAGAUACCAAGACUUUGAGUCUGUGGAUGAAUAUGACUUUGCUUUGUCCAAAGUCGUUUACAAACUCAGACUAUGUGGUGAAAUGGUAACACAGGAGGGUUUACUGGAAAAGAUCUUCCUCACAGCUGAUCCACGAGAUGAAAUAAGA